rnacentral:rRNA from 1 species
GACGAACGCUGGCGGCGUGCUUAACACAUGCAAGUCGAACGGAAAGGCCCUGCUUUUGUGGGGUGCUCGAGUGGCGAACGGGUGAGUAACACUUGAGUAACCUGCCCUUGACUUUGGGAUAACUACAGGAAACUGGGGCUAAUACCGGAUAGGAGCUCCUGCUGCAUGGUGGGGGUUGGAAAGUUUCGGCGGUUGGGGAUGGACUCGCGGCUUAUCAGCUUGUUGGUGGGGUAGUGGCUUACCAAGGCUUUGACGGGUAGCCGGCCUGAGAGGGUGACCGGCCACAUUGGGACUGAGAUACGGCCCAGACUCCUACGGGAGGCAGCAGUGGGGAAUAUUGCACAAUGGGCGGAAGCCUGAUGCAGCAACGCCGCGUGCGGGAUGACGGCCUUCGGGUUGUAAACCGCUUUCGCCUGUGACGAAGCGUGAGUGACGGUAAUGGGUAAAGAAGCACCGGCUAACUACGUGCCAGCAGCCGCGGUGAUACGUAGGGUGCGAGCGUUGUCCGGAUUUAUUGGGCGUAAAGGGCUCGUAGGUGGUUGAUCGCGUCGGAAGUGUAAUCUUGGGGCUUAACCCUGAGCGUGCUUUCGAUACGGGUUGACUUGAGGAAGGUGGGGGAGAAUGGAAUUCCUGGUGGAGCGGUGGAAUGCGCAGAUAUCAGGAGGAACACCAGUGGCGAAGGCGGUUCUCUGGGCCUUUCCUGACGCUGAGGAGCGAAAGCGUGGGGAGCGAACAGGCUUAGAUACCCUGGUAGUCCACGCUGUAAACGGUGGGUACUAGGUGUGGGGUCCAUUCCACGGGUUCCGUGCCGUAGCUAACGCUUUAAGUACCCCGCCUGGGGAGUACGGCCGCAAGGCUAAAACUCAAAGGAAUUGACGGGGCCCCGCACAAGCGGCGGAGCAUGCGGAUUAAUUCGAUGCAACGCGUAGAACCUUACCUGGGUUUGACAUGGAUCGGGAGUGCUCAGAGAUGGGUGUGCCUCUUUUGGGGUCGGUUCACAGGUGGUGCAUGGCUGUCGUCAGCUCGUGUCGUGAGAUGUUGGGUUAAGUCCCGCAACGAGCGCAACCCUUGUUCACUGUUGCCAGCACGUUAUGGUGGGGACUCAGUGGAGACCGCCGGGGUCAACUCGGAGGAAGGUGGGGAUGACGUCAAGUCAUCAUGCCCCUUAUGUCCAGGGCUUCACGCAUGCUACAAUGGCUGGUACAGAGAGUGGCGAGCCUGUGAGGGUGAGCGAAUCUCGGAAAGCCGGUCUCAGUUCGGAUUGGGGUCUGCAACUCGACCUCAUGAAGUCGGAGUCGCUAGUAAUCGCAGAUCAGCAACGCUGCGGUGAAUACGUUCCCGGG